GCCCGGCUAGCUCAAUCGGUAGAGCGUGAGACUCUUAAGGAGUUGUUCCGUAAUGAAAAUCUCAAGGCUGUGGGUUCGACCCCCACGUCGGGCU